CCUACGGGAGGCAGCAGUGGGGAAUAUUGCGCAAUGGGCGAAAGCCUGACGCAGCGACGCCGCGUGAGGGAUGAAGGUCUUCGGAUUGUAAACCUCUUUCAGCAGGGACGAAGCGAAAGUGACGGUACCUGAAGAAGAAGCACCGGCUAACUACGUGCCAGCAGCCGCGGUAAUACGUAGGGUGCAAGCGUUGUCCGGAUUUAUUGGGCGUAAAGAGCUCGUAGGCGGUUAGACACGUCGGAUGUGAAAACUGGGGGCUCAACCCCCAGCCUGCAUUCGAUACGGUCUGACUAGAGUGUGGUAGGGGUAACUGGAAUUCCUGGUGUAGCGGUGAAAUGCGCAGAUAUCAGGAGGAACACCGAUGGCGAAGGCAGGUUACUGGGCCACCACUGACGCUGAGGAGCGAAAGCGUGGGGAGCAAACAGGAUUAGAUACCCUGGUAGUCCACGCCGUAAACGGUGGGCGCUAGAUGUGGGGACCAUUCCAUGGUUUCUGCGUCGCNGCUACGCAUAGCGCCCGCCGUCGGGAGGUACGGUCGCGAGACGUAAACGUACGAAGAAGUUAGUACGGCGUUGAGACGNGCCGACGGACGACGACGAGGGAGGAGG
rnacentral:rRNA from 1 species